rnacentral:rRNA from 1 species
CAGUCGCCGCGGGAAUACGUAGGUCCCGAGCGUUGUCCGGAUUUAUUGGGCGUAAAGCGAGCGCAGGCGGUUAGAUAAGUCUGAAGUUAAAGGCUGUGGCUUAACCAUAGUACGCUUUGGAAACUGUUUAACUUGAGUGCAAGAGGGGAGAGUGGAAUUCCAUGUGUAGCGGUGAAAUGCGUAGAUAUAUGGAGGAACACCGGUGGCGAAAGCGGCUCUCUGGCUUGUAACUGACGCUGAGGCUCGAAAGCGUGGGGAGCAAAUAGGAUUAGAUACCCGCGUAGUCCCUGUCUCUUAUACA